rnacentral:rRNA from 1 species
UGUCUUUUAAAUAAAGACCAGUAUGAAUGGCAAGACGAAAGUUCAACUGUCUCCCUAAAUUAAUCAAUGAAAUUGAUUUUUCCGUGCAGAAGCGGAAAUAUAAUUAUAAGACGAGAAGACCCUAUGGAGCUUUAAACAUAUGAUCAUUGCGUAACAUAACCCAAAAUGAAAUAUUUAAUAAAACAUUAUGAUCAAAAUUUUAGGUUGGGGCGACCACGGAGAAAAACAAAACCUCCGAGAUGAAGAGAAUAUCUUAAUUCAAGAAUCACAAUUCUAAAAAAUAAAAUAUUUAACAUAAUUGAUCCAAUAUAUUGAUCAACGAACCAAGUUACCCUAGGGAUAACAGCGCAAUCCUCUCCAAGAGUCCCUAUCGACGAGCGGGUUUACGACCUCGAUGUUGGAUCAGGACACCCCAAUGGUGCAGCCGCUAUUAAAGGUUCGUUUGUUCAACGAUUAAAGU